rnacentral:rRNA from 1 species
CGGCGAGCGGCGGACGGGUGAGUAAUGCCUGGGAAAUUGCCCAGUCGAGGGGGAUAACAGUUGGAAACGACUGCUAAUACCGCAUACGCCCUACGGGGGAAAGCAGGGGACCUUCGGGCCUUGCGCGAUUGGAUAUGCCCAGGUGGGAUUAGCUAGUUGGUGAGGUAAUGGCUCACCAAGGCGACGAUCCCUAGCUGGUCUGAGAGGAUGAUCAGCCACACUGGAACUGAGACACGGUCCAG